rnacentral:rRNA from 1 species
CCUACGGGAGGCAGCAGUGGGGAAUUUUGGACAAUGGGGGCAACCCUGAUCCAGCCAUGCCGCGUGCGGGAAGAAGGCCUUCGGGUUGUAAACCGCUUUUAGUCGGGAAGAAAAGGCGUCGUCUAAUAAACGGCGUUCUUGACGGUACCGGCGGAAUAAGCACCGGCUAACUACGUGCCAGCAGCCGCGGUAAUACGUAGGGUGCGAGCGUUAAUCGGAAUUACUGGGCGUAAAGCGUGCGCAGGCGGUUCGUUAAGUUCGAUGUGAAAGCCCCGGGCUCAACCUGGGAACUGCAUUGGAAACUGGCGAGCUUGAGUGUGGCAGAGGGGGGUGGAAUUCCGCGUGUAGCAGUGAAAUGCGUAGAGAUGCGGAGGAACACCGAUGGCGAAGGCAGCCCCCUGGGCCAACACUGACGCUCAGGCACGAAAGCGUGGGGAGCAAACAGGAUUAGAUACCCUGGUAGUC